GAUGAAGAACGCAGCGAAAUGCGAUAAGUAGUGUGAAUUGCAGAAUUCAGUGAAUCAUCGAAUCUUUGAACGCACAUUGCGGCCAUAGGUAUUCCUUUGGCCAUGCCUGUUCGAGCGUCAUUUACACCCUCAAGCCUAGCUUGGUGUUGGGCGUCUGUCCCGCCGUUUUCGCGCGCGGACUCGCCUCAAAGUCAUUGGCGGCGGUCGUGCCGGCCCCCUCGCGCAGCACAUUUGCGCUUCUCGGAGGCCCGGCGGAUCCGCGCUCCAGCAAGACCUUUCACGACUUGACCUCGGAUCAGGUAGGGAUACCCGCUGAACUUAAGCAUAUCAAUAAGCAGGA
rnacentral:misc_RNA from 1 species